rnacentral:rRNA from 1 species
UACGUAGGGCGCGAGCGUUGUCCGGAAUUAUUGGGCGUAAAGAGCUCGUAGGCGGCUUGUCGCGUCGGCUGUGAAAUCCCGUGGCUCAACUGCGGGUCUGCAGCCGAUACGGGCAGGCUAGAGUUCGGUAGGGGAGACUGGAAUUCCUGGUGUAGCGGUGAAAUGCGCAGAUAUCAGGAAGAACACCCGUGGCGAAGGCGGCUCUCUGGGACGGUACUGACGCUGAGACGCGAAAGCGUGGGGAGCGAACAGG